UGUGCCUUCUUCAAGUACAGCCGCCAUCAAUCCGCAUCCCAGGCCCGAUCCUUUUCUCACGCAGGUCAAUUCCAGCCUUUAAGUCUCUCUUCAAUUAUUUUCUCCACAUUUCUUCAUUUUUCUCCGAUUGGGACAUCGUUGUUAGUUGAUUCGGAAAUUACCUGUCUUCGGAAGGUUCUCGUAAUUUCAACUUCACUACAGGCUAUCAGUUCUUGCAUUCAACUCAGCAUGAUUGCUCAGCUAGAUUUUGGUUCAUAAUAAUUGACUUUAUAGAGUGUCGGUGCGUUAAUCUGAGAAUUACUUGACAUCUAUGGGAUUUCUGGGUUCUGGGAAGCGGGUUGGUAAUGUCUCAAGACAGUUCAGACACUUCUUCGGCUUGCUGCUCAAGAUCGGAUCAUUUGGAUUCAGCUUCUGCUGAGCUCAAGCUUUACCGAGCCUUCAUUUUCUCUGUACCCAUCUUCUUCACUUUCAUCCUGCUCUUUCUGUUCUACGUGUUCUACCUUCGACCUCGUCGGGUUGAUUGGUCGUCUCUAAGGAUGAGAGCGUUUGCGGCUGCCGAGGAUAAUGACGGUAACUCCAGGUCGGAAUUGGGUUUGAAGAAAGAACUGAGAGAGAUGCUGCCGAUUAUCGUUUACAAAGAAAGCUUCUCAGUUAAAGAUACACAAUGCUCAGUUUGCCUUUUGGACUACCAACCAGAAGACAAGCUUCAACAGAUACCUGCAUGCGGCCAUACAUUUCACAUGAGCUGCAUUGAUCUUUGGCUCACCAACCACAGCACCUGCCCUCUCUGUCGCUUGUCCCUUUUAGCUUCUGCUAAAUCUUCAACUGAGACAUCUAAUUUACAGAGACCAUCUAGCAAUGAAGAAACACCAACUGCACAAUUCUCUGAAUCAAGAUCUACAACUCAUCCAGAUAAUAGUGUUGCCCAAAGUUGCUCUAGAGAUAAUGCAGGCAGUGCCCACUGUAUUGAUAUUGAAAGAGGAAAUGGAGAAACCAGUUAGAAGAGGUGUGGAGACAUGAGAGGCUUGUUAUGAAUACAAUGUUGAGGUGAGCAUUUCCAAUUAGAUAAUUGAAAAACUAUUUCAGUUGGUCGUGGGAUGUACUUUUGUUCGAUUAUUCAGCUAAACUUGACAGGAGAGAAUGAAUAUCUUCGCCAAUUGUUAAAAGAACAGAUCAUUUGUUGAAGAGCGAUGUUUCUUGAUGGCAAAAGAGAUGCUAUGAUAAGAUCUUCUCUAAUGUACUGACAUGAAAACUUCAGUUGUCAUAUAGAAUAUUUCUGUUUUAUAUAACAACUGAAGUUAAUAUGUCUAAAUCAGUUAGAAGUGAGUUAUGUUUAGUAUUAGAGAAAGUAUAAAUAUUUUUAUAAGAGCUUUCUGAACUAUGAUAAAUGAGACUCAAGCUUGUUUAUUUUUUCUUUUGGCAAAAGUAUACAUAUGAUCGUUUAAAUUCA